UACACGCUACUGAUCCCUGAUGGGAGAAUCAUCACCUCUGCCAACAAAGAAGCCUGGUGGAUAUUUGUUUGCAGUCUGAUGAUGGGACAUCAUGCUCUGCAUCUUCAAAGUUUGUCUCUUGAUUAUUAUUCAUACACAGUAAUGUGAAUUAUGCUUAUAUCUAGUAUAACUGGACCAACGUGGUGCUCUUCAUUUAUGGAGGCUGUUGAGUCUGAAUGUUGGAUGUUGUGUAUCUCGUGUUCUCUGGGCUUUGUUUUCCUCAGUCUUUUUGCAGGAUCAGAAAACAAAACCAGGAGGCGUGUAAAUGUUUCUUCUCCAGUUGGAUGAUGAUAAGACUGUGACACGGGAUGCCACCUUUAGUCUUGUGAUGAAGCAAAGCUCAGGACGAAGUGUGAUUAAAUGGUACCCACAUGUGUGCUGCUGAGAAGAAUGUACAAGGGCACCUGCAGCCAAAUCCAAGCCUCCUCAGCAACUUCAAGUCUGUCAGCGUGCUGAGGUCACAGAAACAAGAGAAGAAGCUUGACUUCAGAGUGUUGUUUACAGUUUUCUGUCAUCAUGAUCUCCCCUGAAGUUUAUCACUAUUAGGCAAGCAAGCAGAGCGGCAGUUUGUGCCCACAGAUGGUGACGGUGUGGAGAGACGGUGGUGUUUCCUCAGAAGAACUAGCAGAGUCACAAAGGGCACCAGUCCAUCUCACCACCUUGACUUGCUGACUGAUGCUCGUCUGCACUGCACAGAGGAAAUCAACUGACCGAGGAGUGUUUCUGAGUGAGGGAGAGAGGAGUCAUCAUCCAGGUAAAGUGACGUGGAACAGUGGAUACACCUGUCUCCCCUUUAAAGGAGAUACUCUUAGAGAGAGACGAUCCGAGUCAUCCCUAAAUAUGGGCAGGAUAUCAGUCUUGGACUGUCUAACCUGCCGGAGCAGCACUGAAUGAUCACCACACAUGAGCAUGUUCCUGCAACAUUCAGCAGCUUUGCUUUUGUGUCAAAUGUCAAACAGCUGGAGAGGAAACUAAACCAGUGUACUGGGAUGUUUCAGCAACACGUGCCAGACGCUGUUCCUUCAUGGUGACAUCACCAGAGACAGCCCCGCCCACCUCAGGACCUCGCCAUUGAUCAUGAUGAUUAUAAUCGGAACUAAGACUGUACAAAUCCACGACCAGAAUGUUUAGAUGCUUUCUAAUUAUUAAUGAAUACUGAGAGCCUCUUUCUGUGUUUUGUCUGUUUUGGGUUGUUUUUUUUACCUCAUUUGUUACUAACAAAGUUCACCAAACUCACACAGUUUACAUUCUGUAUGUUUCCAUCUUUACCAGCCACACUCUGCCUGCAUUUAGAAAACAAACCUUAGAAAUCGUCGUUUUUCUCUUUUGUAAUUUUGUAAUUCAGUGAAUAUACUGCACUGCUUCCUUUUAUUGCGUCACACAUUGCUUUAAAUUUUUCAGUGUCCAGUUAUUUUUUACUGCUGUUUGAAUUCACUGUAUGUUUGACCCUGUAGACUGUUUAAUGGACUGCUUGUCUUCCUGUUUGUAACCGCCGCCUGUUUUUGACUAAAGAUUUGGAUUUCUGACUUUAACACAGCCUCUGCGUGUCCUCCCUUUGUGUCCUCUUCCUCUGUGAAUGUGUUGCAUGUGUCACAGAUUCAUUUUAUUAACAGCUUUCCCACAGUGAAUUGCAUCAGCAUUCAUUCACAGCACAUUUCAAAAGGAUUCAGAUUAAUACAGUGAUCUUAUAGUCAGAAUUAUCCUGA